rnacentral:tmRNA from 1 species
GGGGGUGACUGGUUUCGACUUGGGACGGUAGUCCCAGGAGAAGCGGGCCGAGGAGCCGACGACAUCUCGUUAACGAUCGCCGGAAACCAAUAAGUGCCAACUCUGAGCGCACUGACUUCGCUCUCGCUGCCUGAUCAGUGAUCGAAGGGUCGACCCGGGCUUAGCCUUCAGCCCGGUCAUCGGCCUCAUCUAGAAGGCUUGCUCCGGCGCUGGUGUUCCAGCGGCGUCGGGGGACUUUGCUGGGGCUGGGCUUGUCCACCACUCGCUGGCGUGAGGGUGGGAGCCGAGUAGAACGUUUUGCCAGCUGCGCCCGGAGAAGACCUGGUUCGCCUCUUGAGGACGCGGGUUCGAUUCCCGCCACCUCCACCC